AUGGCGACGGUUUCGGAUUCUCUGGUCUGGGAGCUCGUCAGGAAGAACAACUGCUUCCUGAUCAAGCAGUUCGGCAACAGCAAUGCCAAGGUCCAGUUCAGCAAGGAGCCCAACAACCUCUACAAUGUCCACUCCUACAAGUACUCUGGCCUGGCAAACAAGAAGACUGUGACAGUGCAGCCAGCUGCUGAGAAGGAGAUGACUGUGGUCCUCUCCACAACCAAGUCAAAGAAGCAGAACAAGCCUGCCGCGUUCACCCACAAGACUGUCAUGCGCAAGGAGUUCCGCAAGAUGGCCAAGGCUGUCAAGAACCAGGUCAGUGAUAACUACUAUAGGCCUGACUUGACCAAGCCUGCUCUUGCAAGACUGAGUGCAGUUUACCGCAGCCUCCAGGUUGCCAAGUCCGGUGUCAAGAAGAAGAACAGGCAGUAA
rnacentral:rRNA from 1 species